GACGAACGCUGGCGGCGUGCUUAACACAUGCAAGUCGAGCGGUAAGGCCCUUUCGGGGGUACACGAGCGGCGAACGGGUGAGUAACACGUGGGUGACCUGCCCUCAGCUCUGGGAUAAGCCUGGGAAACCGGGUCUAAUACUGGAUAUGACUCCAUGACGCAUGUUGUGGGGUGGAAAGCCUUGUGCGGCUGAGGAUGGGCCCGCGGCCUAUCAGCUUGUUGGUGGGGUGANGGCCUACCAAGGCGACGACGGGUAGCCGGCCUGAGAGGGCGACCGGCCACACUGGGACUGAGACACGGCCCAGACUCCUACGGGAGGCAGCAGUGGGGAAUCUUGCGCAAUGGGCGAAAGCCUGACGCAGCGACGCCGCCGUGAGGGAUGACGGCCU
rnacentral:rRNA from 1 species